rnacentral:tRNA from 1 species
AGAGAGGUGCCCGAGUGGUUGAAGGGGCACGCCUGGAAAGCGUGUAUACGGGUAACCGUAUCGAGGGUUCGAAUCCCUUCCUCUCUG